rnacentral:lncRNA from 1 species
ACAAAGAAGUAUUUUUUUCUUUUUUUAGAAUAAGGACGAAUUUUUGGUGAAUUUUUAAGUGUGAGGGGGGUUGGUUGCUUGGCAGUUUAAAUCACCCAACUUUGUCAAGGCAUUUCUCAGUGUUUUCGAAUUAAAUUAUUGUGAAACUUUAGAAAAUAAGUGCAUCUCCAAGCUGAGCUUUUAGUGGCAUAAUUUUUAUCAAAUUUGAAGACGAAGUGAUUUUUUAAUGAAUUUCCAAGUGGAGAGAGGUUGCCUGCCAUGGCAGUCUUAGUUACUCAACAUUGGGAGAGCAUUUCUCACGGCUCAAAUACUAGUUUGAGUUGAAAGUUAUUGGAUCAAGAGUAUCUUCAAGCUCACUUUGAUUAAACCAAAAAAUCAUUCAAUUUGGAGUUUA